GACGAACGCUGGCGGCGUGCUUAACACAUGCAAGUCGAACGAAGAGCGAUGGAAGCUUGCUUCUAUCAAUCUUAGUGGCGAACGGGUGAGUAACGCGUAAUCAACCUGCCCUUCAGAGGGGGACAACAGUUGGAAACGACUGCUAAUACCGCAUACGAUCUAAUCUCGGCAUCGAGGAUAGAUGAAAGGUGGCCUCUACAUGUAAGCUAUCACUGAAGGAGGGGAUUGCGUCUGAUUAGCUAGUUGGCGGGGGAACGGCCCACCAAGGCGAUGAUCAGUAGCCGGUCUGAGAGGAUGAACGGCCACAUUGGGACUGAGACACGGCCCAGACUCCUACGGGAGGCAGCAGUGGGGAAUCUUCCGCAAUGGACGAAAGUCUGACGGAGCAACGCCGCGUGAGUGAUGACGGCCUUCGGGUUGUAAAGCUCUGUUAAUCGGGACGAAAGGCCUUCUUGCGAAUAGUGAGAAGGAUUGACGGUACCGGAAUAGAAAGCCACGGCUAACUACGUG
rnacentral:rRNA from 1 species